GCCCGGUAGCCCAGUGGUUAGCACGUGGGCUUCACAGUGCAGAGGUACCGGGUUCGAUUCCAGCUCCGGCCUCCCUGUGUGGAGUUUGCAUGUUCUCCCCGGGCCUGCGUGGGUUUUCUCCGGGUGCUCCGGUUUCCUCCCACAUUCCAAAAACAUGCGUGGCAGGCUGAUUGAACGCUCUAAAUUGUCCCUACGUGUGAGUGUGAGCGUGGAUGGUUGUUCGUCUCUGUGUGCCCUGCGAUUGGCUGGCAACCGGUUCAGGGUGUCCCCCGCCUACUG